rnacentral:rRNA from 1 species
ACGGGAGGCAGCAGUGGGGGAUAUUGCACAAUGGAGGAAACUCUGAUGCAGCAACGCCGCGUGAGGGAAGACGGUCUUCGGAUUGUAAACCUAAGUUAUCAGGGACGAAGUCAAUGACGGUACCUGAAGAGAAAGCUCCGGCUAACUACGUGCCAGCAGCCGCGGUAAUACGUAGGGAGCGAGCGUUGUCCGGAUUUACUGGGUGUAAAGGGUGCGUAGGCGGGCUUGCAAGUCAGGCGUGAAAUCCCGCGGCUUAACUGCGGGGCUGCGCUUGAAACUGUAGGUCUUGAGUGAAGUAGAGGCAGGCGGAAUUCCCAGUGUAGCGGUGAAAUGCGUAGAUAUUGGGAGGAACACCAGUGGCGAAGGCGGCCUGCUGGGCUUUAACUGACGCUGAGGCACGAAAGUAUGGGGAGCAAACAGGAUUAGAUACCCUGGUA